AACGAACGCUGGCGGCAUGCCUAACACAUGCAAGUCGAACGAGACCUUCGGGUCUAGUGGCGCACGGGUGCGUAACGCGUGGGAACCUGCCCUUAGGUUCGGAAUAACUCCCCGAAAGGGGUGCUAAUACCGGAUAAUGUCUUCGGACCAAAGAUUUAUCGCCAUUGGAUGGGCCCGCGUUGGAUUAGCUAGUUGGUAGGGUAAACGCCUACCAAGGCGACGAUCCAUAGCUGGUCUGAGAGGAUGAUCAGCCACACUGGGACGGAGACACGGCCCAAACUCCGACGGGGGGCAGCAGUGGGAAAUAGUGGACAAGGGGCGAAAGCCUGAUCCAGCAAUGCCGAGUGAGUGACGAAGGCCUUAGGGUUGUAAAGCGCGUUUACAGGGGAUGAUAAGAACGGAACCGGGAGAAUAAGCUCCGGCAAACUCGGU
rnacentral:rRNA from 1 species